rnacentral:RNase_P_RNA from 1 species
UCAGAUGGCCGGAUGGCCGCUGGUCCCUCGCAAGAGGGGCUGGAGGAAAGUCCGGGCUCCACGGAAACACGGUGACGGAUAACAUCCGCCGGGGGCGACCCCAGGGAUAGCGCCACAGAAAUGACACCGCCUACCGGCCUAAAGCCGCGGCAAGGUUGAAAUGGUGCGGUAAGAGCGCACCGCGUCUCUGGCAACAGAG